rnacentral:lncRNA from 1 species
UUGCAGUAGAAUAACAAAUAGAUUAAACCCUUUAACUCCACAUACAUAAGAUCAAAUAUAGUCCUACUCAAGCCUAGGAGAAAAACAAACAUCUAAUCUAAAAUUUAAAAAUAAGUAUGAGAUCGAAUCUCAAUGCCUUAGCACGGGUGGAUAUUCACUGCUAUCGAUGAUCAUGGAUUUAUAGAUAUUCAAGCCACACACAUGUCUGACCUCUAUGGAUAUCCAUCG